rnacentral:rRNA from 1 species
UACGUAGGGUGCGAGCGUUUAAUCGGAAUUACUGGGCGUAAAGUGUGCGCAGGCGGCCGAGCAAGUCGAGUGUGAAAGCCCCCGGGCUUAACUUGGGAAUUGCGCUCGAAACUACUUGGCUAGAGUGUGGCAGAGGAAGGUGGAAUUCCACGUGUAGCAGUGAAAUGCGUAGAGAUGUGGAGGAACACCGAUGGCGAAGGCAGCCCCCCUGGGUCAAGAUUGACGCUCAUGCACGAAAGCGUGGGGAGCAAACAGG